GGUGUGAGUAACACGUGGAUAACCUACCUAUAAGACUGGGAUAACUUCGGGAAACCGGAGCUAAUACCGGAUAAUAUUUUGAACCGCAUGGUUCAAAAGUAAAAGACGGUCUUGCUGUCACUUAUAGAUGGAUCCGCGCUGCAUUAGCUAGUUGGUAAGGUAACGGCUUACCAAGGCAACGAUGCAUAGCCGACCUGAGAGGGUGAUCGGCCACACUGGAACUGAGACACGGUCCAG
rnacentral:rRNA from 1 species